rnacentral:rRNA from 1 species
AUUGAACGCUGGCGGCAGGCCUAACACAUGCAAGUCGAGCGGGGUUUUCGGACCUAGCGGCGGACGGGUGAGUAAUGCGUAGGAAGCUGCCCGAUAGAGGGGGAUACCAGUUGGAAACGACUGUUAAUACCGCAUAAUGUCUACGGACCAAAGUGUGGGACCUUCGGGCCACAUGCUAUCGGAUGCGCCUACGUGGGAUCAGCUAGUUGGUGAGGUAAUGGCUCACCAAGGCGACGAUCUCUAGCUGGUUUGAGAGGAUGAUCAGCCACACUGGAACUGAGACACGGUCCAGACUCCUACGGGAGGCAGCAGUGGGGAAUAUUGGACAAUGGGCGCAAGCCUGAUCCAGCCAUGCCGCGUGUGUGAAGAAGGCCUUCGGGUUGUAAAGCACUUUCAGCGAGGAGGAAGGGUGGUGUGUUAAUAGCACAUCAUUUUGACGUUACUCGCAGAAGAAGCACCGGCUAACUCUGUGCCAGCCGCCGCUGUAAGAC